CAAAUUCCUAUCCUGUGUCAGGGAUGGGGUCACCAAGUGCUGAAGGCAUAGAGAUAGAGUCCUGCCUUCAAGGAGCUCACAGUCUAGCCUUUAGAACC
rnacentral:miRNA from 1 species